AACAAGUAAAAUGUAUGGGAGGACUUCCCGCCCCAUUAGAUAGGUGGGUAAGCUUAGUGGUGGUUUAGUCACUAAGGAGCAUGUAAGACACUGCAUUUAAAUUCAUGUUCUUAUUCUGUAUUCUACCGAGUAUGAAAAACUACUUCCAUUAUUUAUAGGGCAGGAAACUGAUAGUUAUUGCAAACAAAAAUACUCUAACAAAGCAGCAGAUAAAAGAUAAAACAUUUAAUUUGCUCCUCUAUAGAGUUACUGAAGGUUUUAUAUGCAUUCUCAUAUUGUUUUAGAAUGAAAGCCAUUGCUAUAAACACCAAAGGUAAGAUUACCUACUUUUAAAACUUUAAGGAAGUAUAAAAGCCCCUUUGUUUCAGCUUAUCAUUCUAUGCGAGUUAUAAAAUACCAAAACACCUUUCCUCUGCAAGCUCAAUCAUAGAAAGGCACAUUUAUAAGUAUUUGAUGUGGUAAUAAUCCAUAAGUAUUUUCUAGCUUUCUUUAUCUAUCUGUCUGCCUGCCUGUCUGUCUGUCUCUCUCUAAUAUAAUUUCAAUCUCUUACCCCUUUAAGAAAGCAUCCUGCAUGAAAAUGUGUGUGUGUGUGUGUGUGUGUGUGUGUGUGUGUGUGUGUAUGUGUGUGUGUGUGGUAUGUGUGUGUGGAAUAUUGAAUCUGGACAAAAGAUACAAUUUGUUGUAUUUUACUUUACUUCUGGCACAAAGACAUUGUAUUUAGUUGCUUUAAAAUUCUUUUUUUUAGAGUCUGAAAAGGUUCUUCUAUUUGCUAAAGUAAGAGAUUCUGUAACCCUGAUCAGUAGUCUCUGUCACAGUCUCCCUGUUUGCUGUGUCUUCAUUUGAUUAACAAAUUGUGUGGAAAAGUCACUGUAAUGCAGUGUGUGGGAUGUGGGAAGGGUGUGGGAAAUGUUUUAUGGGGAAAAAUUAUAAGCCUAAUACUAUGAAGUAACAUUUAAUGAAGUUCUGUUUAAGUGCAAUAUAUUUAUUUCUGCCAGAAAUGUAUUAUCAACCUUAUGUAAUAUUUGAUGCAUAACAUCUUAUUUGCAAACAGCUAAAAUUAUAUAUUAUCCCAAAUUGU
rnacentral:lncRNA from 1 species